UCCACGCCAGUGAUCCCACACUAACCUAAGA
rnacentral:piRNA from 1 species